rnacentral:rRNA from 1 species
CCUACGGGAGGCUGCAGUGGGGAAUAUUGGACAAUGGGGGGAACCCUGAUCCAGCCAUGCCGCGUGUGUGAAGAAGGCCCUCGGGUUGUAAAGCACUUUCAGUGAGGAAGAACGCCUGGUGGUUAAUACCCAUCAGGAAAGACAUCACUCACAGAAGAAGCACCGGCUAACUCCGUGCCAGCAGCCGCGGUAAUACGGAGGGUGCGAGCGUUAAUCGGAAUUACUGGGCGUAAAGCGCGCGUAGGUGGCUUGAUAAGCCGGUUGUGAAAGCCCCGGGCUCAACCUGGGAACGGCAUCCGAAACUGUCAAGCUAGAGUGCAGGAGAGGAAGGUAGAAUUCCCGGUGUAGCGGUGAAAUGCGUAGAGAUCGGGAGGAAUACCAGUGGCGAAGGCGGCCUUCUGGACUGACACUGACACUGAGGUGCGAAAGCGUGGGUAGCAAACAGGAUUAGAUACCCCAGUAGUC